UACGAAGGGUGCAAGCGUUACUCGGAAUUACUGGGCGUAAAGCGUGCGUAGGUGGUUCGUUAAGUCUGUCGUGAAAUCCCCCGGCUCAACUGGGGAACUGCGCGGGAAACUGCGGGGCUUGAGUUCGGGAGAGGGAAGCGGAAUUCCGGGUGUAGCGGUGAAAUGCGUAGAUAUCCGGAGGAACACCGGUGGCGAAGGCGGCUUCCUGGACCGACACUGACGCUGAGGCGCGAAAGCUAGGGGAGCAAACGGG
rnacentral:rRNA from 1 species